rnacentral:miRNA from 1 species
UUUGUGAAUUCCAAAAGUGGU